GCAGCUCAGUAGUAGAGCAUCUGCUUUGCAUGCAGAAGGUCCCCGGUUCAAUCCCUGGAUGAACUG
rnacentral:tRNA from 1 species